rnacentral:rRNA from 1 species
CCUACGGGCGGCUGCAGUGGGGAAUAUUGGACAAUGGGGGGAACCCUGAUCCAGCCAUGCCGCGUGUGUGAAGAAGGCCCUCGGGUUGUAAAGCACUUUCAGUGAGGAAGAACGCCUGGUGGUUAAUACCCAUCAGGAAAGACAUCACUCACAGAAGAAGCACCGGCUAACUCCGUGCCAGCAGCCGCGGUAAUACGGAGGGUGCGAGCGUUAAUCGGAAUUACUGGGCGUAAAGCGCGCGUAGGUGGCUUGAUAAGCCGGUUGUGAAAGCCCCGGGCUCAACCUGGGAACGGCAUCCGGAACUGUCAAGCUAGAGUGCAGGAGAGGAAGGUAGAAUUCCCGGUGUAGCGGUGAAAUGCGUAGAGAUCGGGAGGAAUACCAGUGGCGAAGGCGGCCUUCUGGACUGACACUGACACUGAGGUGCGAAAGCGUGGGUAGCAAACAGGAUUAGAUACCCUUGUAGUC